rnacentral:rRNA from 1 species
CCAGAUUGGNUUAAGUUUUAACAAACCACUCAUGAACCACAUACUCAACACAAAAACCAUAACCCCCAUCACAUCGACCCUGNNNAUCCCAUGACAUCACUGAAAUUCCCAGACACACAUACUCAUUGNGUACAAAUAACUUCACUCNAAUCCACUACAUCAACCAUCAAACUUAAAACAAACUACACUUCAAUCACAUAAUACACGAAACUCACAACAAAAUAUCAAAANCUAAAANACUCCAUAUAACGAUAUNAAUACAACAUACAUAUCCAAUAAUAUAUAUAAAUACACAAAACCUAAAACUUACACAAAUUCAAAUAUAUAUCAAACAACAUCUAUAACAUCUACAAUCUACCAUAUUAUACUCAUCUACAANNCNAAUUACAUCACCAAAACAUAAAUAAUANUCAU